rnacentral:rRNA from 1 species
UUUAAUUUAGCUGACGUGGAUCCUGAUCCUGGCACACAUAAGCAAAUUGAUGAGUAUGCAACUCCAGAAAUUAGAGAUGAAAUGAGAAGGGCAUAUUUGUCGAAAGGUGUUGGACGUUUGUAUGGUCAUGAUUUUCCUCGGACUCUUUUUGGGAAAGAUUGGCGGAACUUCAAAGAAGCAUGGUAUAAAGAUUAUGACUGGCUAGAGUAUAGUAAAGAGACAAAAUCUGCCUAUUGUUUCCAUUGUUUUCUUUUCAAGCCUCCAAGCAUUGGUGACAAGUUUGGUCAUGAUGUCUUCACUAAGAAAGGGUUCAAAAAUUGGAAGAAGACAGUGAAAAUAUUCAAUGCUCAUGUAGGUGGACCAAACAGCGCUCACAACAAUGCUAGAAGACAGUGUGAAGAUUUCAAAAACCAAAAGCAAAGUGUGUCAUAUGCAAUGACUUCUCAUACUGAGAAAUCACAUAUUGAAUAUGAAGAGCGUUUGAGGGCUGUUGUAGGUGUGGUAAGGUUUCUUGUCUCUCAAGGCCUAGCUUUUCGUGGGCACGAUGAGACUACCACUUCCAUGAACAAGGGUAAUUUCCUUGAGAUGUUGGAUUGGUAUGCUGAAAGAUGCAAAGAUGUAGCCGAUGUGGUCCAUAAAAAUGCUCCUGGCAAUCAUCAAUUGACUUGUCAUAAAAUCCAAAAACAAAUAGUACAAGCAUGUGCCGAAGUGACCACAAAAGUGAUAAUGGAUGAGCUUGGUGAUAGUAAUUUCUCUCUACUUGUUGAUGAGUCUCGUGAUGUAUCGGUCAGAGAGCAAAUGGUUGUGUGAGGAAGGUUCACCAACCAAAAAGGGGAGUCUUUGGAAAGAUUGCUUGGUGUUAAACAUGUUCUUGAUACUACAUCCGCUUCUUUGAAAAGAUCUUUGGAUGCAAUGUUUGUUAAACAUAAUUUAUCCAUGUCUAGAUUGAGAGGACAAGGAUAUGAUGGGGCCUCAAAUAUGCGUGGAGAACUUAAUGGUUUGAAGAAAUUGGUGCUAGAUGUCAAUCCAUAUGCUUUUUAUGUGCAUUGUUUUGCCCACCAACUUCAAUUGGUAGUUGUUGCUGUUGUCAAGGGAGUCCUAGCUGUUAGUGAUUUCUUUGGACAUACAAAUAAGAUUGUCAACAUGGUAAGUGCCUCGUGUAAAAGAAAACAUGCAUUGUUGCAGAAGCAUCAUGACAACCUGGUUUUACAGUUAGAGCAUGGGGAGAUUUUGUCAGGAAAAGGCCAGCAUCAAGAGACAAGUUUAGCAAGACCCGGUGAUACACGAUGGGGGCCACACCACAAGACUCUAAUCCGGAUAUAUCAAAUAUGGGAUUCCGUGGUUGAAGUGCUACAUGGUAUUUCUCUUGAUGGAGCAGAUGCUGACGAUAGAGGUUUGGCUUCUGGCUUUAUGAUAAACAUGGAAACAUUUGAAUUUGUUCUUAUCUUGCAUUUGAUGCUUCGAGUGCUUGGUUUAACCAAUGAUUUGUCACAAGCAUUGCAACAAAAAGAUCAGAAUAUAGUCUGUGCUAUGAAUAUGAUUGUGUCAGUGAAAAGUCUAUUACAAAAGUUGAGAGAUGAUGGAUGGGAGCCUCUCUUAAUAUCUACUACUAACUUUUGUGCUGCAAGAAAUAUAAUAGUGCCCAAUAUGGAUGAUAACAUUUCAAUAAGGGGUUACCCAAGAACAUCACGCAAAAUGGUUACUUGGCUCCAUCAUUACAAGGUGACUAUAUUCAAUGAGGUGUUGGAUAGAAACAUAGUUGAGAUGAAUAAUCGAUUUAGUGAAACUUCUACACGCUUGUUGAAGUGCAUUGCUUGCCUUGAUCCUAGAGACUCAUUUAGCAACUUUGAUCAUGAUAAGCUAGUUGAGCUUGCAAAUAUUUACUCAAUUGAUUUCUCUUCACAAGAGCGCUAUCUGUUGACUGAUCAACUCAACAUAUAUGAUGUGAUGAAAAGAAGUACUGAAUUCUUGGCUUGCGAUAGUUUGAGUUUUCUUGCUCUCAAGUUGGUUCAGAGUAGACAACAUCUGGUAUUUCCAUUGGUUUAUCGGCUCAUCAGACUUGCAUUGACAUUACCGGUGGCAACUGCAUCAGUUGAGAGGGUUUUCUCAGCCAUGAAUAUUAUAAAGACUGAUCUUCGAAACAAGAUGGGUGAUGAUUGUCUUAAUGAUUUGAUGGUUUGCUUUGUUGAGCGCGAGAUAUUUGCCAAAAUUAGUGAUAAAGAGAUUAUGGUUCAUUUUCAUGCCUUGAAGAACCGUCGAGGUCAUCUACCUCCACAACCUCGUGUUCAGUAUGCAAUUACGUCUUAA